UACGAAGGGGGCUAGCGUUGCUCGGAAUCACUGGGCGUAAAGGGUGCGUAGGCGGCGCGUAAGUCGGGUGUGAAAUCUCGGGGCUUAACUCCGAAACUGCAUUCGAUACUGCCGUGCUUGAGGACUGGAGAGGAGACUGGAAUUUACGGUGUAGCGGUGAAAUGCGUAGAUAUCGUAAGGAAGACCAGUGGCGAAGGCGGGUCUCUGGACAGUUCCUGACGCUGAGGCACGAAGGUCAGGGGAGCAAACGGG
rnacentral:rRNA from 1 species